rnacentral:rRNA from 1 species
AUUGAACGCUGGCGGCAUGCCUUACACAUGCAAGUCGAACGGCAGCACGGGUGCUUGCACCUGGUGGCGAGUGGCGAACGGGUGAGUAAUACAUCGGAACGUACCUUAUCGUGGGGGAUAACGCAGCGAAAGCUGUGCUAAUACCGCAUACGCCCUGAGGGGGAAAGCGGGGGAUCGAAAGACCUCGCGCGAUUAGAGCGGCCGAUGCCUGAUUAGCUUGUUGGUGGGGUAAAAAGCCCACCAAGGCGACGAUCAGUAGCUGGUCUGAGAGGACGAUCAGCCACACUGGGACUGAGACACGGCCCAGACUCCUACGGGAGGCAGCAGUGGGGAAUUUUGGACAAUGGGCGCAAGCCUGAUCCAGCAAUGCCGCGUGCAGGAUGAAGGCCUUCGGGUUGUAAACUGCUUUUGUACGGAACGAAACGGUCUGCUUUAAUACAGUGGGCUAAUGACGGUACCGUAAGAAUAAGCACCGGCUAACUACGUG